rnacentral:rRNA from 1 species
UUAAGGGCGCACGGUGGAUGCCUUGGCACUAGAAGCCGAUGAAGGACGUUACUAACGACGAUAUGCUUUGGGGAGCUGUAAGUAAGCUUUGAUCCAGAGAUUUCCGAAUGGGGAAACCCAGCAUGAGUUAUGUCAUGUUAUCGAUAUGUGAAUACAUAGCAUAUCAGAAGGCACACCCGGAGAACUGAAACAUCUUAGUACCCGGAGGAAGAGAAAGAAAAUUCGAUUCCCUUAGUAGCGGCGAGCGAAACGGGAAGAGCCCAAACCAACAAGCUUGCUUGUUGGGGUUGUAGGACACUCUAUACGGAGUUACAAAGGACGACAUUAGACGAAUCAUCUGGAAAGAUGAAUCAAAGAAGGUAAUAAUCCUGAAGUCGAAAAUGUUGUCUCUCUUGAGUGGAUCCUGAGUACGACGGAGCACGUGAAAUUCCGUCGGAAUCUGGGAGGACCAUCUCCUAAGGCUAAAUACUCUCUAGUGACCGAUAGUGAACCAGUACCGUGAGGGAAAGGUGAAAAGCACCCCGGAAGGGGAGUGAAAUAGAACCUGAAACCGUGUGCUUACAAGUAGUCAGAGCCCGUUAAUGGGUGAUGGCGUGCCUUUUGUAGAAUGAACCGGCGAGUUACGAUUUGAUGCAAGGUUAAGCAGUAAAUGUGGAGCCGUAGCGAAAGCGAGUCUGAAUAGGGCGUUUAGUAUUUGGUCGUAGACCCGAAACCAGGUGAUCUACCCUUGGUCAGGUUGAAGUUCAGGUAACACUGAAUGGAGGACCGAACCGACUUACGUUGAAAAGUGAGCGGAUGAACUGAGGGUAGCGGAGAAAUUCCAAUCGAACCUGGAGAUAGCUGGUUCUCUCCGAAAUAGCUUUAGGGCUAGCCUCAAGUGAUGAUUAUUGGAGGUAGAGCACUGUUUGGACGAGGGGCCCCUCUCGGGUUACCGAAUUCAGACAAACUCCGAAUGCCAAUUAAUUUAACUUGGGAGUCAGAACAUGGGUGAUAAGGUCCGUGUUCGAAAGGGAAACAGCCCAGACCACCAGCUAAGGUCCCAAAAUAUAUGUUAAGUGGAAAAGGAUGUGGCGUUGCCCAGACAACUAGGAUGUUGGCUUAGAAGCAGCCAUCAUUUAAAGAGUGCGUAAUAGCUCACUAGUCGAGUGACACUGCGCCGAAAAUGUACCGGGGCUAAACAUAUUACCGAAGCUGUGGAUUGUCCUUUGGACAAUGGUAGGAGAGCGUUCUAAGGGCGUUGAAGCAUGAUCGUAAGGACAUGUGGAGCGCUUAGAAGUGAGAAUGCCGGUGUGAGUAGCGAAAGACGGGUGAGAAUCCCGUCCACCGAUUGACUAAGGUUUCCAGAGGAAGGCUCGUCCGCUCUGGGUUAGUCGGGUCCUAAGCUGAGGCCGACAGGCGUAGGCGAUGGAUAACAGGUUGAUAUUCCUGUACCACCUAUAAUCGUUUUAAUCGAUGGGGGGACGCAGUAGGAUAGGCGAAGCGUGCGAUUGGAUUGCACGUCUAAGCAGUAAGGCUGAGUAUUAGGCAAAUCCGGUACUCGUUAAGGCUGAGCUGUGAUGGGGAGAAGACAUUGUGUCUUCGAGUCGUUGAUUUCACACUGCCGAGAAAAGCCUCUAGAUAGAAAAUAGGUGCCCGUACCGCAAACCGACACAGGUAGUCAAGAUGAGAAUUCUAAGGUGAGCGAGCGAACUCUCGUUAAGGAACUCGGCAAAAUGACCCCGUAACUUCGGGAGAAGGGGUGCUCUUUAGGGUUAACGCCCAGAAGAGCCGCAGUGAAUAGGCCCAAGCGACUGUUUAUCAAAAACACAGGUCUCUGCUAAACCGUAAGGUGAUGUAUAGGGGCUGACGCCUGCCCGGUGCUGGAAGGUUAAGAGGAGUGGUUAGCUUCUGCGAAGCUACGAAUCGAAGCCCCAGUAAACGGCGGCCGUAACUAUAACGGUCCUAAGGUAGCGAAAUUCCUUGUCGGGUAAGUUCCGACCCGCACGAAAGGCGUAACGAUUUGGGCACUGUCUCAACGAGAGACUCGGUGAAAUCAUAGUACCUGUGAAGAUGCAGGUUACCCGCGACAGGACGGAAAGACCCCGUGGAGCUUUACUGUAGCCUGAUAUUGAAAUUCGGCACAGCUUGUACAGGAUAGGUAGGAGCCUUUGAAACGUGAGCGCUAGCUUACGUGGAGGCGCUGGUGGGAUACUACCCUAGCUGUGUUGGCUUUCUAACCCGCACCACUUAUCGUGGUGGGAGACAGUGUCAGGCGGGCAGUUUGACUGGGGCGGUCGCCUCCUAAAAGGUAACGGAGGCGCUCAAAGGUUCCCUCAGAAUGGUUGGAAAUCAUUCAUAGAGUGUAAAGGCAUAAGGGAGCUUGACUGCGAGACCUACAAGUCGAGCAGGGUCGAAAGACGGACUUAGUGAUCCGGUGGUUCCGCAUGGAAGGGCCAUCGCUCAACGGAUAAAAGCUACCCCGGGGAUAACAGGCUUAUCUCCCCCAAGAGUUCACAUCGACGGGGAGGUUUGGCACCUCGAUGUCGGCUCAUCGCAUCCUGGGGCUGUAGUCGGUCCCAAGGGUUGGGCUGUUCGCCCAUUAAAGCGGUACGCGAGCUGGGUUCAGAACGUCGUGAGACAGUUCGGUCCCUAUCCGUCGUGGGCGUAGGAAAUUUGAGAGGAGCUGUCCUUAGUACGAGAGGACCGGGAUGGACAUACCUCUGGUGUACCAGUUGUCGUGCCAACGGCAUAGCUGGGUAGCUAUGUGUGGACGGGAUAAGUGCUGAAAGCAUCUAAGCAUGAAGCCCCCCUCAAGAUGAGAUUUCCCAACUUCGGUUAUAAGAUCCCUCAAAGAUGAUGAGGUUAAUAGGUUCGAGGUGGAAGCAUGGUGACAUGUGGAGCUGACGAAUACUAAUCGAUCGAAGACUUAAUC